UCUCUCUCUCCCUCCCGCUGCGACCCCUCCUCUCGAUCCACCCCCUCCCGCUGCAACCUCUCUCUUUCCCUCUUUCUCCCACUCCACCGCCGCCGCCCCGCCUCCCGCUCCGCCGCCGAGAGGCUAUCGAGUAGCCGGCAUCGAUAUCCGAGAGGAGUCGCCCUUCGCCGCCGCCGAGAUCCCGUGCCUCUCUACAGAUCCCUCUCGCUCUCCUCUUCGCCCAUCCACCUGGAUCAAAAGUCGAAACCCGCCGCCCCUAUGUCUCUGCUGGUGCUCGACGGAAGACGAGGGCGGCUCCUCCCAGCGAUUCCCCGUGGUCCUCGGCGGAGGCGACGGCUAGCUGCAGCGAAAAGACAAUGGGGUGAUGCUCACCUUCGCCGAGGAGAAGAUGCUCACCUUCUCGCCCCUCCCCCUACCGUGAUGUACGUGGAUGAAUCCGACGGCAACGAGGACGACCUCGUAGGAUCCAGCCACGUUUGUGCGGAAUUUCGCGGGGAUGAAUCUACCCGGCCUCUCGUCCUAUCCGCCGCCGGUAGAGGCAUCCAUGUCCAAUGGUGUGAAUUUUGGCUGGUUCCAUGAGCACUUCGUUCCCUGCCGUUUAGUCUUCGUUGAUUCGGGAAGAUGGUGGUUGUCUGUUUAGCCAUUUCAAUCUGCUAUUGAUCAUGCUCAUUCUUGUUAUAUUCAGUUAUAUUGGAAACACCAUCUGAUUCAGUUAUAUUCUUGAUCAUGCUCAUGCUCAUCCUUAUUCAAAUAAGAAUACUUCUGUUUGGAGAGCUCGGGCGUCAGCUGUGUGGAAGCACCAGCUGAUUUGUAACUGGUCGGAAGGUCCUUGGGGUUGGGUGCGGCAACUCGCGACUCGAAGACAUUUCGUGCAUGUGCUCCCCUGCGCUUGGUGACCAAUACAUCUACUCCGUCGUGAACAUGUGCUUCGUGUCAUACAGGUCGCCGCCAAGGGUGAGCUCGUGCAGCGGUACAGGUUAUGUGCAUUAUUGAUCAGCCAAUCUUGAGAGAGAGAUGGGUUGGCGUGAAUGGGAAGAAAACUACAUUGAAUGGACAAGAAGUAUGCCCUCAACUUUUUCAUGGUAUGUCUUACUUAUUGUUCUUGUGAUUUUUCCAUCAGUUUCACUUUACAUUUUUUCUUUGCUUUUUCAUGGCAUCGGGAUGCCCACUGCCGACGGUGCUGCGUUGCUACCAAAGGGGCACCCUGCCGCGGCCGGGGACUCACUGCCGUCGAAGCACGACACCUUGCCGUCACGUAUGUUGGGUGUUGUGGUGCUGCAGGUCCUUGGGGUUGGGUGCGGCAACUCGAGACUCGAAGACGAUCUUCUGUGUUAGGGCGUCGCCGGCGGCGGCGGCACCUGUAUAGACCGUCUCGGUGUGACAGAAGAGUACGGAGUUCACUCCGAGAAAGAAUUGCUUUGCAUGUACAUUUGCUGAAAGGCUGAUGUGCUGAACUUUCGAUGAUUUCGAUUGGUAUUCAACUUGAGGAAUUUCAUACUUUUGGAGUGGAGCUAUCAAAUAUAUGUGUGCUCGAUGUUGGUGUUUUAAUCCGGAUUCUCUCGCUGAAGGUGCUCGAUGUUGGUGUUUGAAUACUGCUACCGUACUUCAAGCAAAGUUCUCCUAGAGGUGUGAUGUUGGUGGUGAUUUUCUUAUCCGGGGAUAUGGAUGUGGCGGGUCUGUGGGCACCAUGCUGACGCGGAGAAGGAGGUGCAGGUAGCGGGGCGCUUGAGGUGAGGUGGCUGCAGGGUCGCUCGAGAAGAACAGGCUCAUCAGCACCACCUGGAUGCCUUCGUCAUCAGCAAUGUGGACAAGGUAAAGUGGGAUGGCGGGAUUGUAUAGUGCUCAUAAGCCAGUCUGGGCAUUGUCCUUCCUCGAAUGAAUCUGAGACUACUCCUCAUAUGUUAAUCAGUUGCUCCUCCCUAGCUUUGGUUUGGUCUGAACUUCAAAGUUUUCAUCCACUCAAUGUUGAUUCAGUCAAAGAUCUCUUGGAAAAAUUAUUUCGACAAGAUUCACUCUAUAAUGUUGUUAUCAUUGUCCUCUGGAAUAUAUGGAAGCGCAAAAACUCCAAGGUCUCCCGGGAUGUUUUUGAGGAAUUGCACAUUACUGCUAGCAAGAUUGCUGAUGAUUGAUACUAUGGUCCCACAGGUAUUCACAUGAAAUUAAUAAAUGGCACCUUACGGAUUGGAGUACUCUACUGUACCACCUAUCUAGGAGAUUUUAAUUUUUUCCUUCUAUUAUUUCUCUUAAUCCCUGUGUACUCAUUGGACUUUGUAUAGUUCUCAAUUUUAUGAAGUGGUUCAGGCUGGCGUAAGCCGCCAUAGUCCCAGUAAAAAAAGGCUACAAGCUUCGCUUCGGCCUUUCGGAACUGAAUAUUAUGUAGUUUUAUUGAGAUUAUUGAUAGUGCUUCUCUACUAUCAAAGAAGGUAAUAGUCUCUUAUGUGUUUCUUUUUGUCCAUUUGAAUGCACUCCAUUUUUUAGUGUAUUAAUUAACAUCAAACCUCCCAUUCUUUCUAGAGUGCUGAUGUAUUAUUAUUUUCAGCUUAACACAUUUAACUUCCUAUAGAUUUCAUGGUUUAUGCAGAUUAACCGAGCUAAGAAUUUUUGUGAAGCUAAAGUUGGUGUUAAGAUGAACGCCGCUAUGUAUAUAUUUGAAACAGUUAGAUACAUGCUUGACAGACUAUAUAGCAAGCAUUAUGGGACAAGUUUCUCUACCUUAAAUAAGUGUUCAUUCUCUCGUGUUUACUAUUCGUUUAAGGGUCAUCAACCCGUGUAUUUAUUUUCAUUGACCAAGUUUUACAUUUUUCUUCAGUAGUGUUCAUUGUGCAGUUCUAGAUUGUUAAGAGAGUAGAGUUUAUUGAUUUAUUACAUGGAGAGACCAGUAGUGUCGUAGUGGUCUUGACAUAAUUGCUAACAUUUUCUACUAGACAAAGUUUAAUUGCACUAAAUACAAAUUAGAACAUGCAUAGACAUUUAUCUUCUUUCUACAGAAUGGUUAGUGUAAACAUACUUUGAGUUGUACAUGAUUCUGUAUCUGACCAUUUUAUCUCAUAUGUUGAUGUGGUUGCAGAUAUGAACUUCAAAUUAUCCUGCAAUGUAUUGACUGCUCGGAGCUAACUUGACUACGCCAGUUUUCUUUUAUGGCUCAAAGUAGUUAGUGUCCCCCCUUAUUAUGAGAGAGGUUCUAUGGCAGUGGAGUAAUGUUCGUAAAUUAUAUAUUGCUUUCAAGUUUGGAGCUGGAAUAAUAUAUGUGCUGCAUUUAGUUAUAGUCUUAUAGAUAUACAUGAACAUCCAUUGUAUAUUUCUUGCAAGACAUGUUCUCGUUGUUGGUGGGAACAUUUGCUGUCUAAGAUCGACCUCAAAUAUCUGGUGGCACUAUAGCAUGACUUCUGGGCCUUGGCCCAUUUACCCGUCGAAAGUGGGUGGCCGCUAUAAGGGUGGCGUUGCCAAUCCGCCCGGCCUCUCAAAAACCCCAGGGCAGCCCCGAGCAGGAGCGAAGGCGGCGGCGGGCACGCGAGGGAGGUCGGCGGCGAGCACCGGAGCAGGCGAGGGAGAUCGUCCGCGGCGACCAGGUCAGACGUGUCCAUGGCGACCGCCGGCGAACUACUCCGACCUCUGCUGAUCUCCAAGAUCCGAGGCAUCAAGCGCUCGGUGAUGCUUUUGGCGAAAGCUACUGGACACGUCGUUGCUUCAGUAUCUCGCCAAAAGGAAGCGAUCCGCGCCAAUCCUGCACAUAACCACAGGAUCGACACUGUCGGUUGCUUCAAUCAUAUGUACCUGGACCUUACAAAUUCUUUGGUUUCGGUCAAUGGACUGCUGGAACACUAUGUUGCUACAUCCCGUGCCAAUCCCGCAGUUGGGGAAACACAUGCACAAACAGUGGCUCGUCUAAAGUCUGCAAGAGAAGCACUAUUAUUGUUCGAGAACUUGAUGAGCCAUGCAUUGGGCAUAUUAGUGGGGGCAUCAAUGGAGUUGUCUUCAGGUCAUAUACACAACACAUUCCUUGGCAUCGAGUCUACCAUUACCACCCUCAUGGAUCAGCAAAGUUUGCUUGGGUCUGUGAUAUAUUACAUGGAGCAGGUGCAAUCGUCAGUUUGAUGUCCCAAUCAACAUGGGCAUUCAGUGUCAAACUUGUGGAGUUUCUAGUGCGAGGCUAUUAUUGCAUUUUAAUUCUUAGCACUGAUAGUACCAAAAUUUCACUAGCGGGGCUGGUGUGGUGAUGGUUAUAUUUUGUGUAUGCCGCCUGAUGUAGAGUGUUUGUUAUGGUAAACUUAACCAUGUCAACUGAUCGAGUUAGAUCAUGUUACUUUGUG